UACAGAGGGGGCAAGCGUUGUUCGGAAUUACUGGGCGUAAAGGGCGCGUAGGCGGCCCGCUAAGUCGAACGUGAAAUCCCCAGGCUCAACCUGGGAACUGCGUCCGAUACUGGUAGUCUCGAGUCCGGAAGAGGUGAGUGGAAUUCCGAGUGUAGAGGUGAAAUUCGUAGAUAUUAGGAAGAACACCAGUGGCGAAGGCGGCUCACUGGCCCGGUACUGACGCUGAGGCGCGAAGGCGUGGGGAGCAAACAGG
rnacentral:rRNA from 1 species